UACGUAGGGGGCAAGCGUUGUCCGGAUUUAUUGGGCGUAAAGCGCUCGCAGGUGGUCCGCUGCGUCGUGCGUGAAAGACCCCGGCUCAACUGGGGGAUGUCGUGCGAUACGGGCGGACUGGAGGCCAGUAGGGGGAUGCGGAAUUCCGGGUGUAGUGGUGGAAUGCGUAGAGAUCCGGAGGAACACCAGCGGCGAAGGCGGCAUCCUGGACUGGUCCUGACACUCAGGAGCGAAAGCAUGGGGAGCGAUCCGG
rnacentral:rRNA from 1 species